UACGUAGGAGACGAGCGUUGUCCGGAAUUACUGGGCGUAAAGCGCGUGUAGGCGGAUGGGCAAGUCUGCUGUGAAAGCUCCUGGCUUAACCGGGAGUAGUCGGUGGAAACUGCCAAUCUGGAGGACGGUAGAGGUAGGUAGAAUUCCCGGUGUAGUGGUGAAAUGCGUAGAGAUCGGGAGGAAUACCUGUGGCGAAGGCGGCCUACUGGGCCGGACCUGACGCUGAGACGCGAAGGCGUGGGGAGCGAACAGG
rnacentral:rRNA from 1 species